CUUCUGAAUGCUAAGAACACGGAAACACAAAAGCCCAUUGCUUGGGGUAGGGUGGGGAGAGGCUGUUUCUGUAUCUGGGAUGAUCUAAUCAAAUAUCUUCUCAUCUACCCAAGAGAAAAGUUGAAUUUCUGUUUUGCUUGCCAAACAACAAAGAGUGAAGCUCAACCGUUGUUUUGGUUAAGAAAAUUAGCUAUACAGGGGUAUACUUGAUCAACUGCCUGCAAUGAACCAAUACACUGAAGUUAAGCCAUAGCAAAAAUAGUAAGAGCCAGUAUCAACGGGAAGUAACAACUAAAAACAAAAAUAUAACUACCUGCCGACCUCCCACCAA
rnacentral:lncRNA from 1 species